UAUUGUUGAUGUUGUUGUUGAUGUUGUUGUUGGUGUUGUUGAUGGUAUUUGCGCUGUGGGUUGUGGCGUUGCCAUCAACAACACCAACAACAACAUCAACAACAACAUCA
rnacentral:pre_miRNA from 1 species